rnacentral:rRNA from 1 species
AUUGAACGCUGGCGGCAGGCUUAACACAUGCAAGUCGAGCGAGCGGCGGACGGGUGAGUAAUGUCUGGGAAACUGCCUGAUGGAGGGGGAUAACUACUGGAAACGGUAGCUAAUACCGCAAACCAUCAGAUGUGCCCAGAGGGGAUUAGCGAGUAGGUGGGGUAAUGGCUCACCAAGGCGACGAUCCCUAGCUGGGGUGAGAGGAUGACCAGCCACACUGGAACUGUGACCCGUUCCAGACUCCUGCGGGAGGCAGCAGUGGGGAAUAUUGCACAAUGGGCGCGAGCCUGAUUCAGCCAUGCCGCGUGUGUUAAGAAGGCCUUCGGGUUGUAAAGCACUUUCAGCGAGGAGGCGUUACUCGCAGAAGAAGCACCGGCUAACUCCGUGCCAGCAGCCGCGGUAAUUC